GAUGAACGCUAGCGGCAGGCCUAACACAUGCAAGUCGAGGGAUAAGCCUUCGGGCUGCAACCGGCGCACGGGUGCGUAACGCGUAUACAAUCUGCCUUUCACAUAGGGAUAGCCCGGAGAAAUUUGGAUUAAUACCUAAUGGUAUAUAAGCGUGGCAUCAUUUUUAUAUUAAAGCUUUGGUGGUGAAAGCUGAGUAUGCGUUCUAUUAGCUAGUUGGAGAGGUAACGGCUCCCCAAGGCGACGAUAGAUAGGGGUUCUGAGAGGGAUGUCCCCCACACUGGUACUGAGAUACGGACCAGACUCCUACGGGAGGCAGCAGUGAGGAAUAUUGGACAAUGGUCGGAAGACUGAUCCAGCCAUGCCGGGUGCAGGACGACGGUCCUAGGGAUUGUAAACUGCUUGUGUAAGGGAAGAAUAAGGAGUACGUGUACUUUGAUGACGGUACCUAACGAAUAAGCAUCGGCUAACUCCGUG
rnacentral:rRNA from 1 species